rnacentral:lncRNA from 10 species
AAAAAAAUCUACGACCUGGGAAAGGAAAGAGCCAGUUGAGGAAAAGCCCUUUGUCCCUUCUUUGUUUAUAUCUCCAACUUCCCGAUUUUUCCUGUGGCUGUGAUGGCCAGGAUGUGGCAGCCCUCUGGUUAUAACAGUGUCACAAAUCCUUCAUUGAGGCUGCCUUGCAACCCAAGCUCUGCCUCUCUCCAAUCCUCUCUUUCCCUCCCUUCAUAGGUGCAGAUGCUGAGAGCACUUUCUAGUCAAGUCCUGCAUGUUCAUUUCUGUCUCAAGUCAGCUUCUCUGAGAAUCCAAUUUAUAAAAAUAUAUUUGUGAAUGUAUAAGUAAAGUGACUUGGAUUUUGUCUACGUACAAGGACUUCUAUGCCUGCAUAAAACAGUCUGACUGGUUGGAAGAGGCCCUUUUCCCAGCCUUUGUGCAUCUCAAGAUGAAGGUUUCCUAUUUGUGAUUAUGAAAAAAAUGUCAAGAACAAGUCCCUUGGUGUUCUUAGACCAAAGUCAGAACAACAGACCUAGUAAGUAUUCUCUCAGCAUUCAUUACAUGUUAGCAACCUUCAAAGCAGUUUGUGUUCCCUCAUAUGGUCCUCCAUGAGGUAAGUAUCAGAGCUAUAGUAAGAUCUAUUUAACAGUGAGACCCAAAUGUGUCCCAAGACCACUCAGGAUUGCCCUGGUAACCCUGAAGCUCGAAAAUCCCUGAGAUCAAGACUGAAGGAGUCUGUGUUGUUCCUCCCGCAUGCUUCUUCCUUGCAUGUCCCUUUUUCUUCCCUUUCUGUAUCCUUUCUUCCCCAU